CGAAGGGGCUAGCGUUGCUCGGAAUUACUGGGCGUAAAGGGCGCGUAGGCGGCACUGUUAGUCAGGCGUGAAAGUCCUGGGCUCAACCUGGGAACUGCGCUUGAUACGGCAGAGCUAGAGGAUGGAAGAGGGUCGCGGAAUUCCCAGUGUAGAGGUGAAAUUCGUAGAUAUUGGGAAGAACACCGGUGGCGAAGGCGGCGACCUGGUCCAUUACUGACGCUGAGGCGCGACAGCGUGGGGAGCAAACAGGAUU
rnacentral:rRNA from 1 species